rnacentral:rRNA from 1 species
GAUGAACGCUGGCGGCGUGCCUAAUACAUGCAAGUCGAGCGAACAGACGAGGAGCUUGCUCCUCUGACGUUAGCGGCGGACGGGUGAGUAACACGUGGAUAACCUACCUAUAAGACUGGGAUAACUUCGGGAGACCGGAGCUAAUACCGGAUAAUAUAUUGAACCGCAUGGUUCAAUAGUGAAAGACGGUUUUGCUGUCACUUAUAGAUGGAUCCGCGCCGCAUUAGCUAGUUGGUAAGGUAACGGCUUACCAAGGCAACGAUGCGUAGCCGACCUGAGAGGGUGAUCGGCCACACUGGAACUGAGACACGCUCCAGAAUCCUACGGGACGCAGCAGUAGGCAAUCUUCCACAAUGGGCGAAAGCCUGACGGAGCAACGACGCGUGAGUGAUGAAGGUCUUCGGAUCGUAAAACUCUGUUAUUAGGGAAGAACAAAUGUGUAAGUAACUAUGCACGUCUUGACGGUACCUAAUCAGAAAGCCACGGCUAACUACGUG